GGAGAGAUGGCUGAGCGGUCUAAGGCAGCGGUCUUGAAAACCGCCGUAGGCUUAUACCUACCAAGGGUUCGAAUCCCUUUCUCUCCGCCA
rnacentral:tRNA from 1 species